GUGAUAAAUUGCUACAGGGUGUCCCGCUGUGUGGCUAAAACAGAGGGUCACCCUUGGGUGUAAGGCAUUGUUCACCUCCCCACUUGACUGAGUUUUUCUUCUAUUUUUUUUAUUGAGAUCUCGAACUAUGUUUUGAUUAGAAGACAAACCUUAACCUUUUUCUGUGGAAACGCAAAUCUGCAAAGGUGCAAGGCUCAGAACAAAAUUGUUCAAAAUAUUAUCUGGACAUUCUGUAUUUCCCGGGAGGCUAACAUUCGGAACGUGGGACAGAAUUGAGAACUCUGUGACUCAGAGCUGGAGUCCUGAGGGCUGAUGUCACACAGCCUGCGUCCUGCUGAGUCUGAGGGGCCCGGCGGGGGCUUGUCCAUUCUCGAGCUCUGGCCGAAGACGGCGCUUCUGAGAGUCAGGUCUCCAAACCUGCACGCCAGCUCUCCCUAAGAGGACAGCAAGCUCCCUCUCCGGGGUCAGAGGGGUGAGGAAUGUGUUAUUGAAGGGUCUUGUUCCCUAAAAUUAUUAUUAUUUUUUUUUUACCGUAUUGUGCCAUUGGCCUCAGGCAGCUCAGGACGGCUGGACUCGAAGCGUGCUCACCGUUUGGACUGUGUGCGUUUCUCUCGGAGCAAUCUUCUCCCCUGUUAUUGCUAAGCCUCUGAGAGGACUGGCUUCUCAAGGCUCAGAGAGUUUGAUUAACCCAAUUGCUUAUUCCAGGAAAAUAUGACAGCCAGCGGCAUCGACACAAAAGGCAGGCGCCUCGGUUUGGAAGAAGGCCGUCCUGGGACAGCCACCUCCUCGCCCUCCGCUGCCAGGCACCUAAGGACAAGCUUCCGAGAGCCGCGCGGUGCCGAGUGUCGUCAAAAGAGGGGUGUUCUCGGGCCCCUGAGGGCAGGAGCGGUGCUAGCUCUGAUCCCAGGCACGAGAGAGGGCCUGGAGCUCAUCAGGUGUCGGGCAGUGACUCCAAUCACAGCUUCGCAGUGCGGGCACCCUCUCCACCAGGUGGACCUCGGAACGCACAGCAGUAACCUUGUGAACAAUGCUGAACAAUGUUAUUUUGCUUAUUGAUAGGAAUGUGUUGCACAGUGCUUAUUAAUCACACACACUAAGCUCUUGCUCCUGCUCCAGGGUGUUGUAGAAGCACUUUCCUGAGUUGCAGUGGAAACAUCCAGGAGGCAACAGUUCAAACCUAUCAGCAGGUGGGGAAACUGAAGCUCAGAGGGCAGGAGUGACUCUCCUGGUGUCCGGCAGCAAGUCAGUGAUAGGGAGCCUGGGGCCUGGCUCUGAGCGUUUUACUUACAACCCCUCCUGCUUGGUGCCAUGCCCCAUCCGCUUCCGGAGCUUCCUGACCCCCCUGGACGGUUAACUUGCUCCCUAACCCCAGCAAAGAAGUCCAGGCGCCAACCAUUCUGGAAGGGCUGGUGGCCGUCCUUGCCCUAUUGAUACCUGCAUGGGGGCACGUGCAUGGUGACGCUGCAGGAGUGUGGGGGUGAUGGGAGCUAGGGGCUGCGUAGCACAGAGGGGAAGAGGGGGCAGCUGAUGGUUCAGAAGCAGUGAGGUAGUGUUGUGGUAUCAUCUGGGUUACAAAGGGCUUGUUUCAGUCUGAAUGGAAAAUUCUGUGAUUCACACUCACCAGGCCUGUCACCAGGUUAGUUAUGAGACUGAGUGCCCAGCCUGCGACUAACAUCAGGAUCAGAGGUGUUCGUUAUCCUUUUCCCCCAGCCUCUGCCCAAACACCCCAAAUCCUACAAAAACUGCAUCUCUGUUGGCAGAAAGUAGCCCAGCUCCCUGACCACGUGAGCCUCUGAGCCACCCAUGACCAGCCGGGUUCCAUCUCUGUGCCCGGCAGACAGCCUCUUCCUCCGAGUCUAGUCUGCCUCCGGACCGCCAGGUGCUGGAGCUCCAGAUGAAGGCCUGGGGCCCUGGGGGACCCCACUACGUGGAGGGUCGGUCUGACACUCCUGUGUGAACACCCGUGUCUACAGCUCCUGCAACUGAGUCAGCCCGUCUAGAUCUGAC
rnacentral:lncRNA from 1 species